UGGAGAAUCGAAAUGGAGGUUAAGAAAGACAUUAAUUUCAGAUCUCCCAUAAGCAAGUAAAAUGGUUUAAAGGCAGAGAGUGCCUUGAACCCUAGAAGUAGAUCCAGGUGACAUAAUUCUGGUUGUCUUCCAGCCAAAAUAGUCUAAGGUUCCAAAUUCCAUCCCCAGUGACCUUGUCUUAAAAAAAAAAUAAGUGAACAGGGGCUGGAGAGAUGACACUGAAGUUCAGAGCACUGACUGCUUUUCCACAGGUCCUGAGUUCAAUUGCCAGCAUCCACAUGAUUGCUGAAACCAUCCAUAAUGGGAUGUGAUACCUUCUUCAAUAUGUCUCAUGACAGCUACAAUGUAUACAUAUAUGUAAAAUAGAUAUUUUUUUUAAAUUAAAAAAAUGCGUGAAUACAACAUCUGACUCUGGUGCCAACCUGUGAUCAUUACACGGUUAACAUGAGUAAACAUAAUCUUCACAUAUCACACAUACAUACAUAUAUAUAAACACACAUGCAUAGAAUUUUUAUUAAAUUAUAGUUAGAGAAUGGAUAUAAUAUAUCAUAUAUGAAUAAUUUGCCCAUCAUAAAAAUACUAUAUAUAUUUUGCUAUAGGCACUUUAAUGAAAGAAAAAGAAGGUCAAAUAAUAUUCAACUUUUACAAGAUAUGUGCACCAAAUUAAAGUUCCUUGAAAGGAAACCCUGUUUUAAGUAGAAAAUAAUUGACCAAAAUCUCAAAAUAUGUCCAGUGUUGUUGUUAGCUUUCCCUCUGAUUCUGUAAGUUUUUCAAUUCUUUCCAUACACAGUGCUAGCUCACCAAAUUAGAAAAGAAAAUGCCUUGUCAGCUCGGCUAUUUUGAAUCUGUUGUCUCUGGAGGUGUUGUUAAUUGGACAAGAUGGUAUAUACACAGAGCUUUACACAUGGUCAGUCUAUUUAGAAUUCCUUAAAAGGAGAUCUUUUAAACUACAAGAAAAAAGUGACCACAUAAAAAUACCAUACUCAGCUUCUGGAUUUGCUGUCCUGAUAGCUAUUUUGGGGUAUCUUUGUUACUUCAAUGACAUUUUUAAAGUCUAAAUUCAAAAGAUAAAUUGGAUGCGGUGUAUUUCUGAAGUACAAUGAAAUAUAUGAUUUUUAAAUUCUAGGACAUAUAUUAGAGAAGUUAUAGGCUUAGAAGUACUUUCAUGGGGCCAUCUAGUGAAUAAUGAUAGUGAAAUCUUUUUGUUUAAAACAAUAGAGAUGCAAGCACAUGUUUCAUGGUAUAUUGAAUUUAGAAUUUUAUUGUGCAAAAGCUGUAGUUUCACUUAAAUAUGUCUCUGUUAUGCAUUCAAUGGCUUCUUAAAAUCCAGAGAAUGUUUUACAUGGUGACUAUUAGAAAAUGGUAGGUUGCACAUAUUUUAUAUAGCAUCCUAGUAAUAGAGCUCUCUAAGAUAAAUAGCUCUGUCAUACACAUCUGCUGGCAUUCCCUAAUAGCCACAGACAUGCAAUCACUCAAGCCUUGUGGGAAAGGAAGAGUGGGUUACAAAAGUAGCCUCUUAGAUCCUAAGGGUAAAACCUUGUAAGACUUUCUGGAAAGUUCUGCUGUAAAAUGACUAUUUGUCUCUCGACAGAAAAAGAAUUGUAAAAUAUUUCAAAGGGUAGAAAGAUGUCAGUGGUUAGUGGAUUAUAGUGAAAUGAUAGCAGCACAGAUCUUCAGGAUAAUUCAAGGUUAAAAAUAUUUAUUUCCAUGCAAUGAAUAAUACUGCUGCAUCAAAUAAUUUUUAAUAACUAUAGACUAUUCAUCAUGAUGUUUUAAAAGACAGAUUUCAAAGUUUACUUUUCGUUUACAAAAUGUAGGACUGUAUAACUUUGCUAUAAGCUAAGAUUGAUGUUCUUUUGUAUGAAGGGGUUCUGCUGUACUUAUAUCUUUAGCUUACACAAAGUACAUGCCAUUACUAAGUAUUCAUAAAAGCAAGAUCUAGGCAUAAAACAUGGCUGUCUAUCUUCUUGGCAUACUGUAUCCAAUAGACUUCACAAUAAUAUUAUAGUCAAACCAUUUAUAGCAGAGAAGAAAAUUGUCAUAAACUGUAACUUCUCGAGAAAAUCUAGAUGC
rnacentral:lncRNA from 1 species